UACGAAGGGUGCAAGCGUUGUUCGGAUUUAUUGGGCGUAAAGCGCGCGCAGGCGGAUUAGUAAGUCAGGUGUGAAAUCUCGGGGCUUAACCCCGAAAGUGCGCCUGAAACUGCCAGUCUAGAAUGCCGGAGAGGGAAGGGGAAUUUCUCAUGUAGGGGUAAAAUCCGUAGAUAUGAGAAGGAACACCAGAGGCGAAAGCGCCUUCCUGGACGGUGAUUGACGCUGAGGCGCGAAAGCGUGGGGAGCAAACAGG
rnacentral:rRNA from 1 species